rnacentral:rRNA from 1 species
CCCUUAGAUGUUCUGGGCUGCACGCGCGCUACACUGAUGCGUUCAACGAGUGUACACCUUACUCGAGAGGGUUGGGUAAUCUUUUGAAAACGCAUCGUGAUGGGGAUAGAUUAUUGUAAUUAUUAAUCUUCAACGAGGAAUUCCUAGUAAGGGCCAAUCAUCAGUUGGUCCUGAUUACGUCCCUGCCCUUUGUACACACCGCCCGUCGCUCCUACCGAUUGAGUGGUCCGGUGAGGCUUUGGGAUCUGAGCGGAAAGAGCGUUUCGCUGUUUCUGCCCGGAAAACUCAGUCGAACCUUAUCAUUUAGAGGAAGGAGAAGUCGUAACA